ensembl:lncRNA
UGGGAAGAGCUGCGAAGAGUGGAGGGGAGUGCUGUGUGGAUAGGAUCAAAGCACAUUGUGAGGAACUCCCAAUAUCCAAAGAACUCAUUAAAAAAUGCAACACCAAAAGUGAAACUGUGAAUCUCAGUACUUCUUGGGGCUGUCCAGUUCCCUGAUCCAUUAGAUUUGUCAUAAUAGGUCCCAUUAUGUCAUAGAAUUCUGCAUAUGCUUAUUGUCUCUAGGCUUCUAGGCUUUUUCAGUCUUCCUUUGAGAAUCCAAGCUUCCUCUUGUUAGUUAAUAUGUGGCCCCAUUGCAAACAGAAUCCCGUGUUAUGCUUUGAAGGAGUCUGAGUAUGGGGCCAUAGGAAGAAGAUUCAGGCUCAGAUGGAGUUGUGCUACUCACUGAGGCGCUCCUGGAGUGGUGAGUGGGAAGAGAAACAGAAGUGUCCAAGCACAGACAGAGCAAGGACUCCAUGCCAGAAAGUUUGGUCCUCUCCCAGGAAGCUUUCCUUCCCCAUCUGAUGGGACUGGACUUGGCCCUGCCUAUCAUCCUCAACUGUGCACUAAACAGUUGAAAGUCUAAGAUCAAGACACUGGAAGCUUUGGCAUCUAGAAGAGGCUAUUUACUUUGCCAUUCAUGGAACACUUCUUCAUUUUGCUUUCUCCCAUCGUAGAAGAGACAGGAGCUCUAAAGACUUGUGAUAGUGGGCACUGGCUUACGCACACUCACAUACCUGUGCCUGCACAUGUGAGUGUGUAUACACGGUAGGCUAGCUCAGAGGACAACUUGAGUGUGUAAGUACAAGCAUGUCAGAGGGGCAUGUCAGGUGUCCUGCCUUACCACUCCUCCAUUCAUUUCCUAUCCAUGAGAUCUCUCAAGGAGCAUAGAGCUAGGCUGGUGGCCAGAAAUCAAUAAUGCCCUUCCACAGAACUGGGUGGGUAGGUAUCAGACAGAUGCAGCCACACCCAGUGUUUUACGCGAGCAGUGAGCAAUUGAAUUCAUGCUCUCAUACCUCCCCAGCAAGUGCUCUUACCCACUGAACCAUAGCCCCAAUAUUUCUACGCAGAUUUAAAAAUUAAAAGACACUAAUCCUAUUCACAAGGGCCACAGCGUCACCAUUGAACCCCUUCCCAAAGGCUUUGCCUCCUGAUAGCAUGGUGGUGAUAGAUUUCAACACAAGGGUUCAGGCGGGACACAUGUUUAACUUAUAACAGCUUCAAUUCAAGAUUGACUGCUUCUAGUUUUGGAUAGAGACUGAAAUGAAGUUCAACUCCCCCCAGAUGGCUGUCAGAAUUACCAGGGCUGAAACCCUUGUGGGUACCAAGACUUCUUAGACCUAUUAUGCUGUGGUACCCAUAGACAUAAGAAAACCAUAUGUGAUCAGCCACCAAACGCAGACACUACUGCAUAUAACAGCAAGAUUUUGCUGAAAGGACCAUGAUAUAGCUGUCUCCUGUGAGGCUUUGGCAGUGCCUGGCAAAUAGAGAAGUGGAUGCUCACAGUCAGCUAUUGGAUGGAACACAAGGCCCCCAAUUUAGGAGGUAGAGAAAGUACCCAAGAGCUGAAGGG